GUCGAGAAUCAUUCGCAAUGGGCGAAAGCCUGACGAUGCGACGCCGUGUGAGCGAUGAAGGCCUUAGGGUCGUAAAGCUCUUUCGCUUGGGAACAAGAGAAGCUGGCUAAUAUCCAGCGGAUUUGAGGGUACCAGGUAAAGAAGCACCGGCUAACUCCGUGCCAGCAGCUGCGGUAAUACGGAGGGUGCAAGCAUUAAUCGGAUUUAUUGGGCGUAAAGGGCGCGUAGGCGGAAUGAUAAGUCAGAUGUGAAAUCCCGGGGCUCAACCUCGGAACUGCAUUUGAAACUAUUUUUCUAGAGGGUAGAUGGAGAAAACGGAAUUCCACAAGUAGCGGUGAAAUGCGUAGAUAUGUGGAAGAACACCGGUGGCGAAGGCGGUUUUCUAAUUUAUACCUGACGCUGAGGCGCGAAAGCAAGGGGAUCAAACAGGAUUAGAAACCCGAGUAGUCC
rnacentral:rRNA from 1 species